AACGAACGCUGGCGGCAUGCCUAACACAUGCAAGUCGAACGGGAUCUUGACUUCGGUCAGGUGAGAGUGGCGGACGGGUGAGUAACACGUGGGAACCUGCCUUUUGGUUCGGGAUAACCGCGGGAAACUGCGGCUAAUACCGGAUACUCCCGAGAGGGGAAAGAUUUAUCGCCAGAAGAGGGGCCCGCGUCCGAUUAGGUAGUUGGUGGGGUAAUGGCCUACCAAGCCGACGAUCGGUAGCUGGUCUGAGAGGAUGAUCAGCCACACUGGGACUGAGAUACGGCCCAGACUCCUACGGGAGGCAGCAGUGGGGAAUUUUGGACAAUGGGGGCAACCCUGAUCCAGCAAUGCCGCGUGAGUGAUGAAGGCCUUAGGGUUGUAAAGCUCUUUUGCCAGGGAAGAUGAUGACUGUACCUGGAGAAUAAGCCCCCGGCUAAACUUUCGUGCCAGCAGCCGCGGUAAU
rnacentral:rRNA from 1 species